rnacentral:rRNA from 1 species
UUGGAGGGCAAGUCUGGUGCCAGCAGCCGCGGUAAUUCCAGCUCCAAUAGCGUAUAUUAAAGUUGUUGCAGUUAAAAAGCUCGUAGUUGAACUUCGGGGUUUACCCAUUGGUCAGGCUUAAUUGUCUGUACUGGUGAGAUAAAUCUCUACCUUCUGAGGAACUUUCAUGCCAUUUAGUUGGUGUGAUAGGAAAUCAGGACUGUUACUUUGAAAAAAUUAGAGUGUUUAAAGCAGGCUAACGUCUGAAUACAUUAGCAUGGGAUAAUGAAAUAGGACGGAUUGGUUCUAUUUCGUUGGUUUCUAGGAUCACCGUAAUGAUUAAUAGGGAUAGUUGGGGGCAUUAGUAUUCAAUUGUCAGAGGUGAAAUUCUUGGAUUUAUUGAAGACUAACUAUUGCGAAAGCAUUUGCCAAGGAUGUUUUCAUUAAUCAAGAACGAAAGUUAGGGGAUCGAAGACGAUCAGAUACCGUCGUAGUCUUAACCAUAAACUAUGCCGACUAGGGAUCGGACGAAGUUAAUUUUAUAAUGACGCGUUCGGCGCCUUACGGGAAAC